rnacentral:rRNA from 1 species
UACGUAGGGUGCUAGCGUUGUUCGGAAUCAUUGGGCGUAAAGCGAGUGCAGGCUGUUAGUUAAGUCGGAUGUGAAAUCCCUGGGCUCAACCGAGGAAGUGCAUUCGAAACUAUCUAGCUAGAAGAUGGUAGAGGAAGGUGGAAUUCCAAGUGUAGAGGUGAAAUUCGUAGAUAUUUGGAGGAAUACCGGUGGCGAAGGCGGCCUUCUGGGCCAUUCUUGACGCUGAGACUCGAAAGCGUGGGUAGCAAACAGG